rnacentral:rRNA from 1 species
GAUCCUGGCUCAGGAUGAACGCUGGCGGCGUGCCUAACACAUGCAAGUCGAACGAAGCACUGAGACUUCGGUCUUUGUGCUUAGUGGCGGACGGGUGAGUAACGCGUGAGCAAUCUGCCUUUCAGAGGGGGAUAACGAUUGGAAACGAUCGCUAAUACCGCAUAACGUAUUCGGACGGCAUCAUCUGAAUACCAAAGGAGCAAUCCGCUGAAAGAUGAGCUCGCGU